ACCGGGGCGACAGCAAUAUGAAGGUCAGGCUGAAGACCUUACCCGAUUAGCUGAGAGGUGGAGCAUGGCCGUCGUCAGUUCGUACUGUGAAGCAUCCUGUUAAGUCAGGCAACGAGCGAGACCCACGUCCACAGUUGCCAGCAUACCCUCCGGGGUGAUGGGUACACUGUGGAGACCGCCGCUGCUAAAGCGGAGGAAGGAGUGGGCAACGGUAGGUCAGUAUGCCCCGAAUCUCCCGGGCUACACGUGGGCUACAAUGGUUGGUACAAUGGGCAUCUACCCCGAAAGGGGAAGGAAAUCUCUUAAAGCCAAUCGUAGUUCGGAUUGAGGGCUGCAACUCGCCCUCAUGAAGCUGGAAUCCGUAGUAAUCGCGUUUCAACAGAACGCGGUGAAUACGUCCCUGCUCCUU
rnacentral:rRNA from 1 species